rnacentral:lncRNA from 1 species
AAGAAUUCCCACAAACCAUUCCAAUGCUCAGUAACCCGGACAAUCAAGUUCAUGCACAUGAUAAAGAAACAGAUUCACAACCUUCAUGAUGCACCAUCUACACAAUACUUUUAGACACCAUAUUUCAAGCCUGCACAGUGCCACUGAAUAUAGAAGAAGGUGGCAAGCUACAUUUAGAUCCAAUGGAAAAGCUCAGAUAAUUAUUGCUCUGCUUGCAUCAACUCUUCGAUGCAUACUUAUAUAACCUUGAAUUUUUGGGCAACGCUGCUGCAUAAUGCAGUAACAUGGGUUUACUAACCAAAGAAGCCAAAAUUGAACCACCGAUCCAUGAGCUGAACCUCCGCUCCACUGUGGUGUUGUUUGCUAUCAAUUUCAGACGCAUGCUCGGUGGAGUUUUCUGAGACAGCUCUCUGUUCAACCUGUCUGUGAAACUCUGUAUUAGUGUGUUCCCUCCUGCUACAAUCACACUGCCAUAGAGGCCCGGCCUGAUGUCUAUAUCACACAUCCCA